UAAUAACUCCCUGAACUUUUUGGUAGUAUACACAUUAGUCCUACUUGAAAAUUAGCAAAUUUUGUCUUUAUAAUAACAUCACUGAACAGUGUAUGAUUUUGAGGAACUAAACUAUUUUAUAGCUCAGGAACUAAAGUGCAAUUAUAUUUUAAUAUCUUAAGGACUAAAGUUUGGUUAGUUUAAAAUGCUAGGUACUAAAGUGUAAAGAAAAAUUUAUAGUUUUACAACCAAUGACUAAGUUUAGAGUUUUAAAAACUAACUGUAGAUUUGUUAGUAAAUUACAUGGAACAAAAUGCUAAUUUUGACACAGCAAUAAUCAAAUUGCAUAUUAUCACAUUAGAUGGGAGCAUUACUGAGGAUACCCUCCUCUAUGGUACUUCCCUCAUGCAAAGUGUUGCAUACUAUAGGAGUAAGUGUAAGAAUAGGAGGGAAGUUGUAACUAAUGUUAUUAUUAGUUGUAACUGGAUUCUGUUAGAAAGUUGGCAGCUGUAGCUAACUCUUAGAGAAAAACUACUGCACAAGAGAGAUAUAUAUCUCAGUUGGUAGAUCUUGUAAUCUCAUUCAAGAAUCAUCUGAAAAUAAUAUUUCUCUAUUUCCUCAAUCUAUUCCUCAACUCCUUUCUCUCUUUCUUCUAAUUUCUCUAUUUCUUUUGAAUUCUCUGUUAGGGUUUCACAACCUAAAACAGAGUUUCUCCUACAGGCUUUCUCAGCUUGAAUUAUAGACAGAGCAUGCCAUGAAAAGAAGGAACCAAUUUUUAUUUAUAUAUUUUUAAAAAGUGUUGACUAUAUUUUUUUUACAUGCUAUAUACAUCUCAAAGCCAUUUUACAAUAAAGUAGAACACAAACUCAAAGUCUAACAAUAAUUUGUUGAUUUUAUUUGGUAAAGGAUCACUAUGUUCAAUAUAUAAAUUACUCAUCUCAACAUAAACCAUAUUCAUAACUAGAUUAUGCUUUACAAUCUAUUCACUAUUAUCAAUAUGUUAUAUAAAUUCCAAUGGGUGCAUAAGAGGCAAUAAAAAAAAAAAUUGAAAACAAUCUAAUUUACUCACCUCAAGCUACAAUAUCAGUAAAGCCUAAAAGAAAUUACAAUUAUGAAGACAGUAAAUCUAUUUGGAAAUAGCAUUAAAUGCUUAGAGAAACAACUCAAUUUAUGUCUCCGUCUGGAUCAUUAACCAAAAAAAAAAAAA
rnacentral:misc_RNA from 1 species